UGUGAAUCUUUUGUUGAUUCAGAUCAAGGAGGAAUUCCGGAGAACAACAACCAUUCCAGUGGAUCAAACCAGGCAAAAACUUGACAAAUACACACGAAAGCUGAUGAAAGCCAGGGGAGGAGUUUUGGGGCCCAAGACGAGUUUGCUCCUGGACCGACUGAGUCAGAAACAGAGCAUUGAGGUGAGAAGAGAAGCCAUUAUCUCCAGCCUUAUACUGUACCAUGGGAAGAAGGAAUAUGACUUUUUGAGGACUGCUUGUUUACGAUGGCUAAAGCGAUGGCAGUGGUCAGAGGCCACUCUUCAAUAAACAACUGAAAAGAGAAAGAAGUUUGGUUAUUGGAGCGUCGUUGUCUGGCUGUCUAGCCGGCUGAAAAAUUGGGAAAACUCAGGGCAAGGACAGCACAGUGAUGUUAGUAACUCUGU